UCAAAUAUUUUCCAUAUCCAAAACUUUAUUCCAUGUAACGACUCAGCAUAUAUUUUACUUCAUGAAUGAUUAAAAUAAAUGAAUAAAAUGUUUUCAAGAUCGCUUUUGAAAUCAAUAAAUCAGAAUUUUUUCAUUAAUGAAGUAGUAACAAACUUUAUAAAUGAGAUAAUUUUUUAUUUGAUGAUAUUGACAACUCAACCCAUUUAAUAAAUUGAUCGGAUUUAAGCCUGGAUAAAGAAAAGACUGCAAUAAUGAAAUCCUACUUUUUUUUCCUUGGAGAAAAAUCUUAAAUUAAUUUGACAAUUCCUUUAAUUGUUGGAAAAUUUAUUUCCUAAAUUAUCAUAAUUAUAUUUUUCAUUACGUGGUAUUUGCGUUUUUGAUUUUUUCGAGGGAAAUAAACAUCAUUUAUGAUUUAAGAAA
rnacentral:lncRNA from 1 species